CUCGUUAGAGACCAUCAAAAAUUGCCACGGCUGACUAUUUUUCAAGUCAUCCAGGCGGGGUAUUGGGUAAAGU